rnacentral:rRNA from 1 species
AUACGUAGGGGGCGAGCGUUGUCCGGAAUGAUUGGGCGUAAAGGGCGCGUAGGCGGCGCGGUAAGUCUGGAGUGAAAGUCCUGCUUUCAAGGUGGGAAUUGCUUUGGAUACUGCCGCGCUUGAGUGCAGGAGAGGUUAUCGGAAUUCCCGGUGUAGCGGUGAAAUGCGUAGAGAUCGGGAGGAACACCAGUGGCGAAGGCGGGUAACUGGACUGCAACUGACGCUGAGGCGCGAAAGUGUGGGGAGCAAACAGGAUUAGAUACCCUGGUAGUCCACACUGUAAACGAUGAGUACUAAGUGUCGGGUAACCGGUGCUGAAGUUAACACAUUAAGUACUCCGCCUGAGUAGUACGGUCGCAAGGCUGAAACUCAAAGGAAUUGGCGGGG